UGCAUCGGCCGGGAAUCGAACCCUGGCCGCCCGCGUAGCAGGCGAGCAUUCUACCACUGAACCACCGAUGC
rnacentral:tRNA from 1 species